GACGAACGCUCGCGGCGUGCUUAACACAUGCAAGUCGAGCGGAAAGGCCCCUUCGGGGGUCCUCGAGCGGCGAACGGGUGAGUAACACGUGCGUAAUCUGCCCUUCACUUCGCGAUAGCCCUGGGAAACCGGGAUUAAUACCGGGUAUGACGCGCACCCGCAUGGGUGUGUGUGGAAAGUUAGUUCGGUGGAGGAUGUGCUCGCGGCCUAUCAGCUUGUGGGAGGGGUAAUGGCCUACCAAGGCUUCGACGGGUAGCCGACCUGUGAGGGUGAACGGCCACACUGGGACUGAGACACGGCCCAGACUCCUACGGGAGGCAGCAGUAGGGAAUCUUCGGCAAUGGACGAAAGUCUGACCGAGCAACGCCGCGUGAGUGAUGAAGGUCUUCGGAUCGUAAAGCUCUGUUGCCAGGGAAGAACAGCGUCAUGUUAACUGCAUGGAGCCUGACGGUACCUGAGAAGAAAGCCCCGGCUAACUACGUGCCAGCAGCCGCGGUAACAC
rnacentral:rRNA from 1 species